rnacentral:tRNA from 1 species
GGAGGCGUAUGGGUACCUGGUGGGCCCCCCAGUCUUCAAAACUGGCGAGACCGAGCAGCUCGGUCUGGCGGGUUCGAUUCCCGUCCGCCUCCGCCA